UAGGGAAUNUCCCGCAAUGGGCGAAAGCCUGACGGAGCAACGCCGCGUGAGUGAUGAAGGUCUUCGGAUUGUAAAACUCUGUUAUUAGGGAAGANNNNNNNGNNNNNNNNUCUUCCNNCGUCUUGACGGUACCUAAUCAGAAAGCCACGGCUAACUACGUGCCAGCAGCCGCGGUAAUACGUAGGUGGCAAGCGUUAUCCGGAAUUAUUGGGCGUAAAGCGCGCGUAGGCGGUUUUUUAAGUCUGAUGUGAAAGCCCACGGCUCAACCGUGGAGGGUCAUUGGAAACUGGAAAACUUGAGUGCAGAAGAGGAAAGUGGAAUUUUCCUGUGUAGCGGUGAAAAGCGCCGAGAUAUGGGGGGACCCCCGUGGCGAAGGCGGCCUUUUGGUUUUUAACUGACCGCUGAGUUGCGAAAGCGUGGGGAUCAAACAGGAUUAGAUACCCUGGUAGUCCACGCCGUAAACGAUGAGUGCUAAGUGUUAGGGGGUUUCCGCCCCUUAGUGCUGCAGCUAACGCAUUAAGCACUCCGCCUGGGGAGUACGACCGCAAGGUUG
rnacentral:rRNA from 1 species